AUCAAGAUCAAGCACAGACAUGGCUACUGAGAGCUCACAAACAUUCCUCCUGUUGGCCAUCCUUGUCCUGGGCCUCUUUGCUGAUCCCUCUGAGAGCCAAGAGCUGCGAUGCCAGUGUAUUCAGACACAAUCUGACUUUAUUUCUCCCAAAUUCAUUGCAAAAGUCUUGAUAAUCCCUGAAGGUGCUCACUGCAACAGAAAAGAAAUUAUAGUCACAUUGAAAGAUGAAAAAUUAAUUUGUUUGGAUCCUGAGGCUGAAUGGGUGAUGGAUAUUAUAAAAAAGAUUGUAUAGAGCCCUUAACUGAUGACCACACAAAAAGCAUCACGUUCUAUGGAUCUCAAGAGCCCUUUGUAUCAUCACGAAUUUGGGCAUCUCCAGAGUUUUCUUUGCAAAAUAGUUGA